CUGUCCGAUAAACAUCAUAUAAAGUUUUGAAUAAUUUGCACGUUCAAUCUAAAAAGAAAAUCACAGGUAAUUUUUGCAAAAGCAAACAAAUAUCUUAGUCUUUUAAUUCUUUUUCGCAAAUGCUCGAAUCCUAGAUAAGUACACAUGUAUAAAGCAUAAUACAUACCUGAAAUGAUACUUGUCGCUACUGUCAUUGAAGUAGAAGGCAUCUUCCUCUUCGUCCAUGUCCCCUUGGUUGGCAAACAUAAUUUUACGGCCUUCAACUUCAUCAACAAGUAACUCGGCCAAGCCUCCCUUUGGUCCAACCUUCAUGAGCCCCAAGUAACCAUCACAGAUGUACAAAUCUCCCGUUUUCUUCUCAAAAGUAAGUCCCAAUGGCCUUCCACAACUAGGCACCACGUCAUUUCUUGAGCAGUUCCCUCUGCAUACAUGGAAGGUAAUAUUUAAAGUUAUCAUUAGUUAAUUUACUUAUUUGAUUUUUCAGAGACGCCAACAUAUAUAUUUUUAUCAUGUCAUCGGUUGUCAAGCCGCUAAGAUAUGGCUGACACCAAUCCGUACCUUAUGAGUUUGAUCGAGUCCCUUUCCGAAAUACUAUCAAGAUAAUUAUAUUUUUUUUCCUAAGUUACAUUUGUGUCAAUAUUGAAAAAACAGAGAUAUAAACUAUUGGGACAAAUCCAAGGAAUGUUUGCACAAAUAUAUAUUGGUCAAAAACCUUAAAAUUUAAUUACAAAACUCAAGCUUUUUUUUGGUAAUUAUUACAAAACUCAAGCUGAUUCACUGGAAAACUCAGACAAAAGGUCAGAAAUCCUAAUUCUCAAAUAAUAAUAAAAUUAAAAACCUGAAAAAUAUUAUUUGUUCUUUUCUCUCUUCAACUUAUUAUUAUCCUCUCUUUUCAAAAAAAUAAUAAUAAUAAUUUUUAAGGAGGGUUACACAACAAACGAGUGGUAGCCGAGACAUCUUGGGUAAUUUUCUUCAACUAAUUUGGUACUCUCUUUUAAUUUAUACUUAUUUGGUACAUGUAUUAGAAAAAGGUAAAAAUAAAAACCUGUGAGGAGAUGUAUAGGCAAACUCAACCCAGCCGAGAUCAUCGCCGCGCCACUUGAGAAUACGGCCGUCCACCAUGGCAGCAUAAGGACCUUCUCCUUGCGGGUCAAACUCAAUGCUCUCUGGUCCAACAACAGGAGUUGGAAUGGUCUUAGCCGCUGCCAGUAUAUUUUUGGCGCCCUCUACAUCUCCCGGCACAAGAAAGAUCUGAUACGAGGUUAUGGACAAGACGGCCAACACAACCGGAGCAACGAACCAUGUCGGAACUUUCUGAUUAAGCGGCAUGUUUCCCGCCCCUGAUCAAAAUAUGUUGUUGAAAGAGACGUAUUGAAGUAACACCAAAUUAAAUGUUGUGUGUUUUCUUAUUGUUUGGUGGAUGCAUAGAUAUACACGUCUCGCCGAUUCGCUUGUAGCGCCAGCUGUGAGAAAAACUAAAAUAAACCAUGCGUUUCGUCAACGGAGGUGACAAGGUCAGUUUAAUAAUUGAAAUUUAUCGGAACUUCUCGAAACGCGAAGGAAUUUGACGGGAAGACGAUGUUACGCCCACGUAAAACCAAAACAAACGAAUAAGACGUUACGCACGUACAUACGUUUACGGUUUAUCAUUACAAUUAAGAAUUAACGAUUAAUUUGUGAUUUAACAAAAAAAUUAUUUACACCAACUUCUCGUCAUGAGAAAACGGACGACUGAAAAAAAAGAGAAAUAUGGAUAAUUGUGUUUAAACGUAUUAUUCUAAUAAUUGGUACUUUUAUAGACUGUUUGAAAGAGCAAAUUGAGUAAAGAAGCGAAUAUUCGAUUGCCCUUCUCAGAGACCCGACAAAAAUUGAAGCCAGGCUAUAUCUUUUAUUCUUUCUUUUGGACCCAAGCCAGCUUAAACGGAUUUGCUGCCAACUAAUUAAAAUUAAUUUGAAGAUAAACCCGACACAACAUCAAAGUGUAGAUACAUUUCACGUCACUUCAUUUUUCGACCACAUAUAAUAAGUCACUGAUGUGUCCACUUCAAACAUAGCCACCACCCACGAGUAUUACUGUUUCUUUUUUCCACUCGGCAUAUUUAAUUUAGCUACUAUGGCAAAAGAAAAACGUGUUUCAUUUUCUAUGUUAAUCUCUAUCCUAGCAUAUUUGAAUCUUUCAUAUUGCUAAUGAUUAUUGAUACCAACCGACAAAACAUAUAUAAUAACCAUAUGCUAUAUAUAUAUAUAUAUAUAUAUAUAUAUAUAUAUAUAUAUAUAAUUAAUUAUAUGCAAUAUAUACAAUUAAGAUGGUUUUACGAAAUGACUUUAACAUAUAAUUCUUUCUACAAUUCAAAUUUUUGGAGGGUUGGAUUCUGUCUGCACCUACAAUCACAAUAAACUAUGAUGAAUUGAUCGAUGAUAAUGAUGAAGAUGUUAAAAUAUUUAAUCAACUUUGCAUCCAUAUGUUGGAAGAGAGAAAUUUCUUAAAAUCGAUAUAACAGAAUCAGCUUUCCACAACAAAAACGUGUUUGAAAUAUAACAAAACAUAUUUAAAUGUGUGUGUAAUAAGAGAAACUGCAUAAUUAGAAUCAGCGAGAUAUUCUUAGGUAAUUUGGUAAAUUUUAUAACCAAAUAAAUUUUACUAUAAAGCGGUAUACGUCUCAGCCAUUAUCAGAUCGUUUGACACCUUGUCACCAUAUGAUUACGUCAUAACAAACACUAAAGACUAAAGACAGUUUUAAGAAUCGGAAUUUUCACAAAUUAGAAAUAAUAAAUAUUUUUUUAAUUAAUAUUCAUUAUGCUUAAAUAGUAGAUACAAUUGUCACUCAUUUGCGAUCAAGAACCCAAACGGCUGGCCAAUAAACAGACCCAAACCAUAACUUUCCAUCAUCUCUCUCAUAAACCUCACUUACAUACUUCAUUGUCUUUCCUUCUUUGUCUUCAAGAACUUCAAGGACCUCCCCUGUCUCCCCGGAGAUUUUCACGGCGACCCCCUGCGGCUUAAAUCCGUUAAGGAAAGCAAUCACGUACUCCAUUUUUAUUGUCUUUUCAACCAAUUUCCCGAACCACUCAUUCCUCAAAAUAAAUCGACCUAACAUGUUUUUCUUGCAGUGUAUACCAAUCCAAAAAUCUCCCGUUGGUGUUAGCCGGAUGUUGUCGGCGUAACCUGGGACUUUAGUAAAGAUAUCACGUGUCCCGGCUUUGGGGCCUUUGAUCCAGUAUCUGUGGACAAGACUUGUGGCAGACUCGCAUGUGAUUAGGAAAGACCGAUCUUUGUUUAGAGCCAACCCGUUGUUACAACGGAGAUUGUCCAUAACAACUUUGGCCUCUUUCGUCUUCUUAUCGUAUCUGAUCACUCUUCCUGACGGCUCCAUACGGACACCCUCCAUGAAUACGUCCCUGACAGACAAACAUCACAUAAAAGUUUUGAAUAAGUUUUACAUUCAAUCAAAAAAAAAAAACAUCACAGCUAACUUUUGGUAAGCAAACAAAAUAUCCAAGUCUUUUACGUAAAUGCUCAGAUCCAAGAUAAGUAUAUGUAUAAAGCAUAAUGCAUACCUGAAAUGAUACUUGUCACUACUAUCAUUGAAGUAGAAGACAUCUUCCUCUUCGUCCAUGUCCCCUUGGUUGGCAAACAUAAUUUUACGGCCUUCAACUUUAUCAACAAGUAACUCG
rnacentral:lncRNA from 1 species